ACAAUAGGAUCUCGAAUCACGAAGGUCAGUUGUAAGUUAUCAGAGGUUGGGAGUGGACGUGUGAUCACUACUCCUUCUUGUGUAAUCACUCGUACAACUGUAUCUGUAGCGAACAUGAGUGCUCCCAAGAAAAUUUGUAUCUUAGGUUCGGGGAACUGGGGGUCGGCUAUCGCCAAAAUCGUCGGGAACAAUGUGACUAAAUUUGACAAGUUCGACAAUGAGGUGAAGAUGUACGUGUACGAGGAGAUGGUUGAGGGCAAGAAGUUGACCGAGAUUAUCAACACCACCCACGAGAACGUCAAGUACCUCCCCGGCAAGAAACUCCCAGAGAACGUGGUAGCAGUGCCUGAUGUGUUGGAUGCUGCCAAGGAUGCAGAUGUACUUAUAUUCGUCAUUCCUCACCAGUUUAUCAAGCGCAUUUGCCAGCCCCUGGUGGGGAAUCUUAAACCGUCCACUGUAGGCAUCUCUCUCAUCAAGGGCUUUGAUACUAAGGAAGGUGGUGGCUUUACCCUCAUCUCGUACCUCAUCAGAGAUCAACUCAAUAUUCCUGUUUCUGUUCUCAUGGGAGCCAACCUAGCUGGAGAAGUUGCAGAUGAAAAAUUCUGUGAAACUACAAUAGGAUGCCGGGAUAUCCAAGUUGGUCGCAUGUACAGGGACCUCAUCCAGACAGAUUACUUCAGAGUUGUUGUGGUUGAUGAUGUAGAAGCAGUUGAGGUCUGUGGAGCUCUUAAGAACAUUGUAGCUUCAGGAGCAGGGUUCGUGGACGGUCUUGGGUAUGGCGACAACACUAAGGCAGCCAUCAUAAGACUAGGGUUGAUGGAGAUGAUUAAGUUUUGCGAGGUAUUCUAUCCUGGUUCAAAAUUGGGAACAUUCUUUGAGAGCUGUGGUGUUGCUGACCUCAUCACUACCUGCUAUGGUGGCAGGAACAGAAGAGUUGCAGAAGCUUUUGUCAGGAGUGGCAAAUCUAUUGAAGAGCUAGAGAAGGAAAUGCUAAAUGGCCAGAAGCUACAAGGACCUUACACUGCAGCAGAAGUUAACUUUAUGCUCAAAACCAAGAAUAUGGAAGACAGGUUUCCUCUUUUCACAGCCAUUCACCAGAUUUGUUUGGGUGACCUAACUCCAGCAGCAAUGAUUGACUGCAUUCGAAACCACCCAGAGCACAUGCCCCCAAACUGCUUUAAAAUAGCGAUGGUGACAUCUUCAGAUAUUAAGGGUUAAGAGCAAGAGCCCUUGAGGGAAUCCGACACUGGUCAUUAAUGUCUAAGCUCUAAGUCAUCUGCCAUCUAGUGGUGUGGGUUUGACGAGCAACGCACAUCACUCACAGAAUGCCAAGAUUAAAAAACUUCCGAGACUUAAAGUGAGACCCAGGUCGUUCUAGACUGUAUAUCAAUGUUUCAUUAUAAGUGCAUUAUAUAUCUUAUGGUAGACUCCUUGUGGGCAUUCUGUGAUGUUACCAAGUAAGUUACUGUAACAGUAAAUUGUUUAAAAUUAGGAGUUUUAUCAAGAGAAAUGUGUCAGACUGUUUUAUCAUAGUGUUAAUAUAUGUAUGCCAUGUGUUGCAGUAAAAAAUUGGUAUUUUCAUUGGCAAAGAUAAACCUAGAAGAGUUA